rnacentral:rRNA from 1 species
UAUACGCGUGGAACCUUACCAACACUUGACAUGUUCGUCGCGACUCUAAGAGAUUAGAGUUUUCGGUUCGGCCGGACGAAACACAGGUGUUGCAUGGCUGUCG